rnacentral:rRNA from 1 species
GAUGAACGCUGGCGGCGUGCCUAAUACAUGCAAGUCGAGCGAACGGACGAGAAGCUUGCUUUUCUGAUGUUAGCGGCGGACGGGUGAGUAACACGUGGAUAACCUACCUAUAAGACUGGGAUAACUUCGGGAAACCGGAGCUAAUACCGGAUAAUAUUUUGAACCGCAUGGUUCAAAAGUGAAAGACGGUCUUGCUGUCACUUAUAGAUGGAUCCGCGCUGCAUUAGCUAGUUGGUAAGGUAACGGCUUACCAAGGCAACGAUGCAUAGCCGACCUGAGAGGGUGAUCGGCCACACUGGAACUGAGACACGGUCCAGACUCCUACGGGAGGCAGCAGUAGGGAAUCUUCCGCAAUGGGCGAAAGCCUGACGGAGCAACGCCGCGUGAGUGAUGAAGGUCUUCGGAUCGUAAAACUCUGUUAUUAGGGAAGAACAUAUGCGUAAGUAACUGUGCACAACUUGACGGUACCUAAUCAGAAAGCCACGGCUAACUACGUG